AGCGCGGCUCCUUCCCUUGUUGUGUGUGUCGGUGCCUCCUCGCCAUCUUGUUGCAAAGCCCUUUCUUGUCGGCGGGACUCCCGGGGGCCGCGGGGCGGGAGGCAUCGGAAGGGAGGUAGAGAGGGAGGGGAAGAAGGGAGGCAGUGCCGCCUUUUUUUUUUUUUUGCAUCCCAUUUUUUUAAAUUUGCAAUUUUAUAUUUUGCAAAUAUUUUGAGAGACAUUGAUUUUUCUCCCCGUGCUCCCCCGUUCUUCCCUGCGGAGUGCGCUGCGCCGCCCAGCCCUGUCGCCCCCCGGAGGUGAUCCCUCCCUCCUGCCUGCCCGCCAGCCUGACCUGUGCCCGGCUCGCGGGCCGCAGCCUCGGCCCCGGCGCGCCCCCGGCAGCUCUCGGCGCGAUGAGCAUAGAGACGCUACUGGAGGCGGCCCGCUUCCUGGAAUGGCAAGCGCAGCAACAACAGAGAGCACGUGUCCCUGAAGAGGAAGGAGAAGGAAUAUGAGCAUGAAAUGGAGCGGCUGGCACGUGAGAAGAUUGCCACGCAGCAGCGGCUGGCAGAGCUCAAGCACGAGCUGAGCCAGUGGAUGGACGUACUGGAGAUUGACCGCGUGCUG
rnacentral:lncRNA from 1 species